UGGGAUUACAUGCGUGAGCCACCGGCCCGGAUGAUUCACUUCUUAAUAAAUCAUCCAACCCAAUGAUUUGGUUCCAAAAGAAACAGAUAACAUUCAAACACUGUUUCCUCUAGUUCAUACUGUAAGACAAUGUAUUUUAGAUACAUUUUGCUUGAAAUCCACAAACUUGUCAAAUACCCACCUGGGUAGAGGAGGACAGCAGAACUGAAGGGCAAGAGGGCUCAGCCAGACUUCCCUCCCCGAGCUCCCGGGAGAAGGUUAAUCACUUCGAUCUAAACCAGGCAGGGCAGAGACCUAGGAGGCAGGAAGUCAGUUUAAAGGAUGUGACAUUGGCAUUUGCCCAGCGGGUGAUGGGAGAGGGAGGUUGAGGUCGUAACACUUCAUUUUCAUUCUGCAUCUUACAAAGACUCCGACCUCUGAGCUAAACUGACUUGGGCCAGCUCCCACCUAGUGAACCUCAGCUCCUCCUCCUCAAGUGAGGCUGUCACCUUGCAGGAGUACAGACAUGGGGAGCUGUUGAUACUUCUCCAGAAGGGGCGUGACUGACAGAGGGUUCAACCCAGGUCCAGUGGCUCUGAGGUCCUGUGCUUCAUAAAGUGUAUGUUUUGCAAAAACACUGAGGUUCUCCCAGUUGUGCAGAGAUGCAGCCCGAGGAUGACAGUCAAGGGUGACUCCAGCCAACAAACUCACGGGCUCCCUGUCUGUCCCCAGCCCGGGAGCCAAGACACAGAAAAGCGUUCCUGCCUUAGAGCCAAGCACCUGGCCUGGAGGUGUUUGUAAGGGGAUCCCCUCCCCCGACCCCCCAGCAAUGGGGAAAGUCCCCGAGACCUUGACCACUCUGCGCAGUUAAUCCAGAGGCUUCCAGGACGGGGCACUGGCUGACUUCACUUUCACCUGUGGGUGCUGGACCCAGUGCACCCCCAGAGGCCAGGCAGCUUUCACUUUGGGGAAUGUGGACUCUGUGGGUCCAGAAGGGCCUGUGUGGAAAAAGAAGCCAACAGUCCCUGGUUUUGUGUAAAGUCUCCUGAUGUUUAAAGGCUGGCAACGAACUCAACUGAAAACAAAUGCAAAAAUACCACAGGCCAAACCACGGGUACAGGCUGGAUGCACCCAUGGGCCACCCAGUUGCUCUCUGUUUGGCUGUGACCAACUCGGCCCAGGUCCCAUUUCUGGCACUCAUUCCUGUUUCUUCACUUAAACAAAAUGGCAUGAAUGCUGCCUUCUCAGGGGGCAUGCUGUGAGGAUGCUGUAACUUUGGAGAGUGUCUGGCCCUUUCUGGGGUGCCCCUGCUUCCUCCCUUCCUCUUUUCCCCUCCGUCUUCCCUUUCCUCCCUUCUCCCCUUCUCCCCUCUUCUCCCUACUCCCUUCUCUCCUUCCCUCACUUCUUCCUCUCCUCCUGUCUCCUUUCUCCCUCCUUCACUCCUCUUCUCCUUUCCUUCCUCCCUCCUCUUCUUUCCUUCUCCCCUCUCUUCUCCCCCAUCUCUCCUUUCCCCCCUGCUUCCCUCUCCUCUCUCUCCUGUCUUCCCUCCCUCUUCCCCUCCCUCCUUCCCUGUCCUGGCCCUGAACCUUUCCCUGGGCUCCCACGCUCUGCUCAGUCUCACCUAGGCCCAGCCCAUGUCUUCUCAGACAACCCAGCACCACCCCUCGACCACCUUCCACAGAGGGGGCUGCCCUUUUCAGCUCCCUUGCCAAGGGGCCGCCAGCAUUUCCAGGUCAGCUCACGAAUGGCAGUGUUCUCCAGCUCUUCUGUGUCAAAAACAAACACCCUCCUCCCAGCGCUGCUCCUGGCCGGCUGCCCCGCCCUCUGCCAGGCGUUUCUCAGAGGACAAGACCUAAUGAGCUGGCUGCUGCCAGCCUGGUCCUCACAGUUCAUCAGUAGGAUUCCAGACAGGCAUCAGGCUCAGGGACAGCGCAGAGACAGCUGCCUUCUCCUCUUUCCCGGAGGCACCUGAGACCUGAGCGCACCGAGGGGGCCGGUGCAUGGGCUGCUCCCAGUGAGCGUGAAGUUCACGCCCAGAAGUACACCCGCCACCAGCUGCAGCAGCACAGGUUCGUCCAGCGCACCACGAGAGGCUGGGGCUCUCUGGGAGUGGAGGAGCAGGGCAGAAGAAGAAAAGCCAUGUGAGGACACAGUAAGAAGGCGGACGUCUGUAGGCCAGGAAGAGAGUCCUCACCAGGACCCAACCAUGCUGGCACCCUGGUCCUGGACUUCUGGCCUCCAGAACUGUGAGAAAUAAAUUUCAGUUGUUGAAGCCAUCUGUGGUAUUUUGUUAUGGCAGCUGGAGCAGACUCAGACAAUCUUUAAAUACACAUACUUUCAGCAGUAGCUGGCAUGUCUGACCUGGCAAGAUGAACUGAUUGCACACUUAGGUAAACUGACUACUCAUCCCAGCAAAGCCCCUAACCCUGUAACCACCCACUGAACUGACCAGACUGGUGGCUUAGCCCAGCCUUGGACAGGCAGAACUUCAGCCUUGGACACAGUCCCUGUCAUCCUAAAGGAGCCUCCUUAAGGAGCACUUGUAGGACCAGAGAGAGUCAGAGUUAAUAGCAAUGAUAGUAACUUCAAUACUUUAUGUGGAGCAGCUGUGUACAAUGAGCUAGGGCUGGGACCAAGCAUUUUAUAUUCAUCAUCUUGUUUAAUCUGUGUUGUUACCUUGUGAAGAAGGUAGGAUUAUCUCGAUUUCACAGAAGAGGAAACUAGAGAUGAGAUUCCCUGUCCAAGUUUACACUGCAAGUACCAGAUGGACCAAGCUUCCAACCCUCCUCUCUCUGACUUUAAACCUUAUGCAUUCCAUUAAAAUUAAAGGAAAAAGAGUCAUUGAUCA
rnacentral:lncRNA from 1 species